UUUAACUGGAAUUUCAUAAAUUUCUUUUUGAUUGGAAUCUGUUGGUGGAGAGUUACUGUGUUCUUUUGGCAGUAUUGUGUUUCCUUUCUUUUUCAUGUUUCUUGUGUCCUUAUGUUGAUAUCUGCAGAUAUGGUGUCACAGUGUCAGUCACUUCUUCCAAUGUUUUGAAUUUGCUUUCGUGGGGGACAACUGUUUCCUGAAAAUGCAUCUAUGCUGUUGGUUGGGUAGGGUACUUUGGCUUUGAUUCUGGGCGUGUUCAGUAGUGUAUUCUCUAUAUGAUUUAUUAGCUGUAAACAGUGUCUAUGAUUUUCUUGGUGGCUUGGGGUAUGGUUGUUAGGGGAGGCUAUGGUGAAGAUUUUUUGAGGGACUGGGAUGCCAGGUGGGCCAUACUUUGGGUACCUGAGAUGGUAUCAUUUGGCUGAGCAUGCCUGUCCUUGGGUCCCACAAUGAUGUUCACUGGAUUUGGUGUUAGUCCAGGCAGGCCCAUUCUUGGGCCUCCAGGUGGCUUGCUUGGGUGCCACAAAUGGCAACAGAAAUAGGUUGCGCAGGUAGGUGGGCUCUUGUGCCCCUGGGCAACAGGAAUGGCAUGAGCAAUGGCUAUAGCAGUGGUCAGACGACCUUCUGGGACCCAAGCAAUCCACUUUUAUAUUGGUGUGUCUCUGACAGCUUGGACAGGUAGGUCCCCAGAGCCAUAGGUGAUGCAUGUGGGUGGCUCCCACUAAGGUGGUGGCAGUAGGUGGAGUGGACCUGACUUCAGACCCUAGGAGAAGUCCUCACAUGUCACUGGUGGUGGGCUGGGCUGGGCAAUCCCCAGACCCCUGGAUGGUACGCUUGGGUGUCAUGGGGAUGGAGCUGGGCUGGGCGGACCUUACCUCAGGCCACCCAGUGGUGUAUAUGGGUGCUGACUUCAGUAGUCAGGAGCAGGGUGAUCCCCAGGCUGUAAGCCUGCUCAGGUGGGGCAGCAGUGUUUGUGUUGUAGUCCUAGUCCUGCUACUGGGGAGAGCAGGGUUGCUUUUUCUAGAAGCACCCAAGAUAGGAAGUUUUCAUAACGGGUUGCAAUCUUUAUUCAUACUUCAGCCCUGCAGCAGCCUGCAGGUGGUAAUUACAGGCAGGGGAAUAUGUCCUUGGGGCGUGCGAAAAUACAUGGCCACUACUCUGUUUGGGGAAUGGGGAUGUUGCUCCUGACUCUCACCUCAGCCCAGUGGCAGGACAGGACAGAGUCUAGUGGGAGCUAGGCUCUCAAAAUGGCAUUGUGCUGCAGCUGCUUCAGACUCCAAGGUGUGUGAAAACCAGUGUGAGCUUGCUCUCUAGAGCAAUGCAGUCUCCAGGGAGCUCCGAAUGUCAGACUUGGGGCUGUGAGAGUUGAGGGGCUCUCAACCCUCUGGCUAGGACUGUAGGUGUGUGGUGGGAAUUUGGACUGCUGGAGAUCUCUCUCUUAACCCUUUCCCCGCAUUAGGGAGCCUCUCCAGACUCACGGCCAAUCCCAGCUAAGCAGGCUACCUCCCUUCCUUCUCCUUCCAGAUGAUCUAUUCAAAGUUUGAUUAUCUACUUGCUAUUUUGGUUCCUCUUUGUGUAAGAUGCAUCUAGUUAGCCAUCUUGAAGCCCCUUCUAGGACUGAGUAUUUUGAAUGUAUGUGACACAGGGCUGCAAGCUGCCAAGAGGAAAAGUGCUAUAGUUAACUGGAUCCAAGUGCCAGCUUUACUACUUACUGGAUGUGUAAUCUUGGUUAAAUCGCUAAAUAUCUCUGGGCCUCCACUCUCCCAUCUACAAGGUUUUUGUGAGUUAGUAUGUGUGAAGGGCCUAGAGCAGUACCUGCUACAUGGAAAUGGCUCAGUAGAUAGUAGCUGUCAUUUUGAUACUAAUAUUUCUAAAUUAUGUUUUCAGUUUAUGGGACUAUCAAGCAAAAUUCUAAAAGGAUUUUUGGGAGAAAUGUUACAAAGGUUAUCUGGUAAUUAACAAAUUGGUAAGAAUGGCCAAGAAAAUUUUGUAAAAUAAGCGUUGUAUGAGUAUUUCUAUGUCCAGAUAUGUGUAUUCCAAGGCCUUAAUAAUAAAAUAAUAGUUCUGACACGAAAAUUGAAAGAUAAUCAAUGGAAUAGAAAUUGAAUAAAGCUUAAGAAUAGACCCAAGUGGGAUAUAGGAAUGUAGUUUAUUAUUUGGCAUUUCACAGCAAUUGGUAAGGAAGGGUAAUUUGAUAAAUGUACUGAGGCAAUUCAUCCAUUACUAAAAUAAAAUUAGGUUCCUUCACUAUAUCAGUGUUUUUCAAAGGUGUUUACAGGCAUCAGAAUUCCUUGAAGUACUUAUUAAAAUUUAGGUUCCCAAGCUCCACCCCAGUGUGCAGAGUAGGGUACCUAGUUCUCAUUAAAGUGUGGGAACUGCUGUCAUAUACCAUAUAUUAAAAUACAUUCCAGGUGAAUUAAAGAAUAAAUGUCAAAAUUACCAUCUUAAAACCAGAAGACAAUAUAAAGGAAUAUUUACAUUAUCUUUCAUGUUUAUAUAAGAUCUUUUAUAGUUUAGUAAGAAGAAUAUAAAAGCAUGAUAGAAAAAAGGGCAAAGAACAUAAAUAACCGAACCAUAAAAGAAGAACAGAGAAGGCCAAUAAGCAUAUGGAAAAAUGCCAGACUCCACUAACAGUCAAAAAAUGCACAAUAAAACAAUAUAUCAUUUUUCAUAUUUCAAGGGGAAAAGUACUGGAAGAAUUAGAAGAUCCAGUGAUGCUGAGGACACAGUGAAGUGGGCAUUUUGAUAUUCAGGGGAUGGGUGGGUAUUUUGAACAAGCUUUCUGAAAUGCUUAUAUUAAGCGCCUGAAAAAUAUUUAUACUUUGCGACCAGUCCAUUCAUCUUCUCUAAAUUUAUCCUGAAGAAGAAUCACAGAUUCACAUAUAGACUUAUAUACAUAUGCAGAUAUUUGUUGUAGCAUUAUUUUAAUAGAAAAAAUUGGAAACAGCUGAAAUGUCCAACAAUAUGGUAACAGUUAACUAAAUCAUGGCCCAUCCGUAUGAUGAAUACUCUGUGGUCAUUAGAAAUCAUGUUUUUGAAGAAUCCUAUCAUUAAAUGACAUGAGAAAAUACUCAUAAUGGAUUAAGUGAAAACACCAGGAUGCAAGCUAUAUAUAGCAUGAUUCCUUUUUUUAAUUAAAAAUAAUUAGAGACAUAGAGAAAAGAUGAAAAGAAGAAAAAAUAUAUAUCAUAUGUUAAUGGUGUUUACAUCAGGAUGGUUAGAUUUGAGCAAUUUUAUGUUCUCUAUGUUUUUUAUUUUCCAAUUUUAUACAAUGUACAUGUAUUACAUUUGUAAUGAUAAAAUGUUAAUUAAAAUAUAAUAAAACAGAUGAGACUGGCCAAGAGAUUCUGAAAUAAAUGUUAGUUUAAAAUGGUAAUAAUAGAAAGACUGUGUUUCUGGAUUUAAUAGAAAGAUCAAUGAAGCUGAAUAGCUACAUUAGAAUCUGAUCAUGUGAGGAGCAGGGGCCACAAGGAUGGAUGGGCAGGAUGAGGGCUGAAUAUGCGGGGGCUUGCAGGGCAGAGCUUCUCAGAGCAGCUGAAACUCCUUCUGAGUCACCCUGCACUGCAGACUCCCCCCGACUGGGCGCAAAUGAAAUCUGUAUGCUAAGGCGCCUUCUCCAUCAUGUUAGCUACCUAUAAACAUGCUGCUCCAGCAAAGGUGGAUGGUGCAUGGGCAUACCUUCUUCAUUUGUUGCUUUGAAAGGGAGAAUUUUAGCAUAAAGACUAUAGUAUGAGACUUUUAGCAUAAAGAGUUUGCUCUUGGGAAGCCCUGAGGUUGCUGAUACAAUUCCCUGGCUAAACUUUGUCUCCUCUUAACUCCCCAUUUUAGUGCCUCACCUAGCUCCAGGGUCCUGGUUGCUCACUGACCAGGACAGCUAAUGGGGAAUUCUGAAGACAGGUGUUUCCCCACUGGCAUGGUGCUCAAGGCUCUUGGCCAUCCCAAGUGGAUGAUAGUGUCUGCCUGAGGAUACCAACAAGUCUGGGGAAGGUUGGUCUCAGGCAGGUUUGGGAAAGCAGUGGAAGGCUCGGGGGUAUUGGAGCCUUAUAAACUGGAUAUGGACUCCUCCUGCUGUUCAAACAUGAAGGCUCCACCUGACCUUAGGCUUGUCUCUUCAUUUCAGUAGUCUGAGCCUCAGGCUCCCCUUCUAUAAACACAUUCCCCAUUGGUAAUAGUACCUUAAGGGGCCAUGUGAGGCUUAAAUAAGCAAAUGUAAGCAAGGGUUUAUCCCAGCCUUACACAGAGGAGGCACCCAGGAAAUCACAUUUAUCGUUAUUGUGGCCUUUCUGUUCUCCCUAACCUUGCAGAAGUUUAGCUAUUACUCAACGGUGUGUGGUGCCAGGUGCUGUACAAAAUGUGCCUGGCACCUGUGCAGCAAGACUUCCGAGAACACAGGUUGUCAUCAUUAUUACUGCUGUUGCUGUUGCUAUGGCCUCUGUCCCCCCAGACACCCCAUGAGGAAUGCAAGGCUCUCCAGCCUCACCUUCACAGAGCUUACAGCUCUUGGAUCUCUGUGAGAAAAGGCUCUCUGUGCUGCUUCUCUUGUCGGCAGGAGCGGCUCUGAAGAUGGAAAGCAUGUGGGUGGGAGCUGGGGCAGGUGUGGUUGUUCCGUGAAGUGAGCACAAAGCCUGGCUUUGCCUUUCUGUCUUCGGCCUUCUAGUGUUUGCAGCUUCUGCUCACCGUCACCUCCUUAGCUGGGUGCUGGAGAGUUGCCAGGCAGAGUGGAUGAGGCAUCCAGAGAACCAAGGAACGAUAGUGCAGUGAUGGGGUGAGGCAGAGUGUUGACAUUUCCAUCCCAGUGCAUCUAGAGGCAUGCAGAGCAAACCGGGGCCACCCGCAAGUGGGACACACAGAACCCAGUGGAGAGGCAAAAAUAUUUUAGGUUCUAUACAACCUUUUAGAAAUGUCAAUUGUUUUGUUUGGUUUAGUGGAUGUUAAGAGAAAUAAAAUGCAUUGAAUGAGUAAAACUAAGUAAAAGAGAGUCAUUUUCAUGUUAAUAUGGAAAAGAAAUAUAAAAUAAAUAAUAGUGUAGAUGGUAAAUAGAUGAUGGCAGAGAAAAUUGCAACAAUGGUGUGAGAAUGACGGUUUGGCAAAUGCUGUUCCGAGGGAACUGGGAUUCUAUGCCUGCCUCUUGUAAAGUGAAUAUGCCUCCCUGAUUUGUCUGUUUUUAUGGGUCUUCUUAAAUGAGUACUGGCAAGGUGGGGAACCCCUUAAAUUAAUCCAAAGCCAGAGGAACUUUAUCAAAAGUUGGUGCUUGUUUGAAGCAUGUUUGAGUCUGUAGAUACAUAGAAAAGACAGUGAUUGUUUUUGGCUGGUGUGGCUGGCUUGGCAUUUUCUUGGCUGGAUCAGAUGAUAGAGGAGAUUGCUUUUAUGUCUAUGGCCAACAGAUCAGAUUUGUGGAACAUUGUCAAUCCCAAUCAGGUGACAAAGCUUUGUUAAUACAAUGAAGUGAUGUGGUUUCCUUCUCUUUAUGUGAACUGAGUUGUGGAAUAUCGCUGUGCCAGGCCCGGGGCUGGUGACACAUUCUGAUCCCUGUCCUUGUGGGGCUGUCUGUCCACAGGGGAGAUGAGCCACGUGCUCAGAGGUCCUCACUGUCUUUUAUUCAAGAUGGGCAAUAGCAGCCAUGGCAAUCAGAAGGAGGAGGGGUUUCCCUGAUUUGGGGAAGGGUGUGACCCUGGUAGGGGAGGGUAAGAUGAGGAAAGGCCUCCCAGAGGAAGUGACAGUUAACCUGGUCCCUGGAGGGAAGGGUUUUCUGGGUGGGGAAGAACCCUGCAGAAGGAGGAAAGGCAUGUGCGCAGGCACAGAGGCUGCACAGCACCAGAGAGCCCCUGCUGUGUACUGUGAAGAUGGAGGGGUCCUGAGAGCAGAUGAGGGGCAUGGAGUGGAGGUGGCGGGGGACAGCCGAGACGUGGCUGGCAAGAUGGGCACUCCCUCCUUGGGACUGGAGGAGGUCACAGUUCCUCGCUGAGAGGUGAACUUGUUUCUAGAGCUCCUGAUCAGGGUCCUUCUCAUCCACACCUAGAUGGCUGCACUCCCACAGACUCUGUGGGACAUGAUGUGGCCUUCUGGGUAGAAGAGGAGGACUGCCAGAGCUCAACAUGGACUGCCCACCACUGCAGUGUUACUCUGGAGUUAGCUCUGGGGUUUAAGGUUUAGUUCCCUAUUAGUAUGCAUCUGCUCCCAAGAUCCCUGAUGGUGGGCUUGAUGGUAUCUUGGAUUUUUGCGUGUUUUUAAGGCCUUCUGGGGUGCCCCCAGGUAGAACAGGGGGAAGAAGAUCAUUGAUAGGAGAAACAAGAAUGCAGGAGACAAACCUCCCUAGACUCUUUCCUAUAGUGCUGGCUAUGACAACCAUCAGGAAGGAGACCCUCAGAGUCCCACUGGGUCAGCCUUCACAUCCUGGUGAGGGGCAGGAGUGGACACAUUCUGGGAAUGCAGCCAGUUCAGGAAAUCUCUCCUAUAGGUAUCUCCAGGCCCCAAGAAUGACUUCCUCUAGAUAAACUGAAUGGCCACCACUGCCCCAUCUCCUGUGUUUGGGCACCCGCUGUGCUCUCCAAAAGUCAAUGGCAGGCCGUAAAACCCAGGCUGAACCUGAUAAAAUAAACCUCAGGACAGUGGGGUAGGGCAGGGAUUGGGCUAGGCCAACUCAGAAUGGCGAGGCUGGGAUGCUAAGGGCCUGAGUCUGCAUGGCCAGUCCUGCCUGCCCUCGCCAGCCCUUUUCCAUUCUCUGAUGAACGUUUGGACAAGGUGGGUGGCAAUGAGCUUAUUUAAAGUGACAAAUUCCUGAGGCAGAUGCUCAAGUAUAAACAAUGUUUUUCCACACCCAGCUGUUUUUCUGCAAAGUGGGAUUUCUUCCAUGUUGUCCUAUAAACAUCCAUGGGUACAUGACCUCUGCUUAAAUGUCAGAGUCAGUUGCUCUCAGCAUUACUGGCUCCCAGGUUUUAAUGUGUGUUUCUGGUGAACAGUGGCUUUUUAAUGUUAGAACACUGGGCCCUUAAGCCAAAGCCUUGGCUUAUCCAGGGGAAAAGAAGAAUCCAUUUUAAGGAGAACUUUGGGGAAAUAUCCAGAGAAUUCCAGCAUGUAUGUGUGUACAUAAGUGUGUGUGUGUGCACGCGCGCUUGCAUACAUGUGUGUUUCUGCAAAGCAGGCUUCCUAAUUCCUCUCUAAUGUGGACCAAACCACUUCGGUGCUUCUCUUCAGAACGAAUUAGAGGGUAAUGCCCCGAUCUAUGCAUCCUAACAAGUUCUGAGAGUUGAGGUCGACUCUAUCAUCCUGAGAGAGUUGACUUUAUGGGCCCAUUGGAAUGUGGGGGGUGGGUUGUGAGAGCUGGGAGUUCCAAAUUCCCCUGGGCCUAUUGCCAAGUUUGGGUAAUUUUUGCCUGCACUGCCCUCAGUCCCACAUUAUCCAGGCCGGACCUCCUGGUGCUCCUUGAUCAGGGACUGACCAUCCAAGGUCCAGCCAGCCACCCACCUUGGCCUGCUGGUUGCCUUCUUGCCACAGACUCAUAGAAGUAGCCCCACUUAUGGCCUGGCUCAGCAUAGGAGGUAGGAGGAGCCUGGGGAGAAAGGAGCCCAUCCGUGAAAAAAGGAGAGGCCAGGAUCACGCAGAGGGAGGGAGGUGCUUAUUGUGGGAGAAAUGAAAGAAGAGUAUUGGUCCUUGGACUGCUGCUGCUCAGAUCCGUGUCAGGCCCUGCUCUGUCUGCCCCAUGGGGUGGCUGACUGCUCGAGCUAACAUUUCUCAGGCCCCCUUGCCUCUGGUUUCUGCCUAUGUUGGGCCAAUAGGAGGCACCAAUAGGAGACUGGAGGGUAGGAGGAAGGAAGAAGCCAGGGUAUUUCUCCUUGUGUCUGUUUGGGGCAGUGUCUAGGACAACGGCUGCAUCCCCACUGUGGUUCUAUUAUCCAUGGCCAGCCUCUCUCUCUCUCUCUGUGGGCCCAGGUCAUGCCUAUGGUUCUGUCUCCUGGGCUCUAGUAAUGCCACCUCUUUCCUUUGACCUUCGAGCCUAGAAGUGGUGGCAGAUUCCUGCUAGUGCUGAGCUCUGGGUCGCCCCCUCUUUCCCCAUGUGGUCUUUCUGCUCUUCCAAUACUCUGGAACCUGUUUCUUGUCUUAAAACCCUUCUAUUAAAGUACUUCAUGGUUUUUUGACUGGACCCUGACUGGUACAAGGACUCUCCUUCUCUCUUCCUCAUCUCUUCUCCUUUCUUUCUCUCCCAUCUCCAUUUUGCUGAGGAGUCAACACUUGCUGCGGUGAGCUACUGGUGGUAUAGGCACUCAGUCCUGUUAUUACUACAUUGUGCGUAUACAGUAUAUUUCAGUGUUCAUGUUAGGAGAGGGGGGCAUCAUUGACUGCCCUCCCAUGGUCACUCCUGUCAUGGUGGGACCUGAAAGUUAUUCCUUUAUCCACCUCCCUCCUUUAACAUUUGUGGAGCAACUCUUCUCAGCAAAAAGACUCUAUGCACUGUUGGGGGUGGGGACUGGGGCCUGAGAUGACGGAUACAGGCCCUGCCCACCAUGAACCCCCUGCACACUGAGAAUGCUGAGGCAUGCACACAAGUGAGGGUGAUGUGAGGCACCACCCGAAGAGGGCAACUCAGGGAAUUGUGGAAAGGGAAGCCUCCUUUGACACAAGGAAUUUGGCUUCUCUUCUAGAGAAGGUGACAUUUGGCUGGGUUUUGAAGGAUGGGUAGGAUCUGGGGAGAUGAUUGUAGGGAUGUUACUCAUAAAAUACAUUCUGAGAUUACAGGUGGAGUCUAAGACUCCCAAUUUCUCUGAAUAACUGCAAAUUUCCCAUUUGCCCAUCUAUGCCUUAGUAAAGACUCUAAAAGCCUUUUCAUGGAGGUGCUACAACUACAGAAGGGGGUCAGUUUACACCCCGAGGAGCCUGGGGAGAAUCCUUCAGAGGUUUUAGGCAAACACAGAAUAUCUUGAAGGUCCCUGUCUAAGGCUGGGUUAUCCUCUGAUGGACUCGGGAUUUAGGGGACUUACCAUAUAUCUGCUCAUGGAGAGGGGAAAAGGUAAGUUGUUGGAGGAGAGAACAGAAGAGGGGUGACGUCAAGUUUGGGUCCCAGAGGUCUUCUGGAGAGAUCGUCCCAGUAGAUCUGGAUUAGUGUAAGGCAGCCCGAGGAUAUGGGACCAAAUGGAGGUGACGUUGGGCAGAUUUACAUCAGUCAAUGGAUGGCAGUCUCUUCAACACUCUCUGUCUCUGCAUGAGGAGACCUGUCUCAGAGGAUGGAAACGCCUUCACCACACCCAGGAAUGUGGCAGAACAGAGAUGCAGCCCAGCUUAAAGAAAGAAAGGAGGAAAAAAACCCUGCUGGACGUUGGAUGUACAGCCAAACACCUGGGUCGGGAUCCGAAUGCAGAAAACAGGCAUGGAAUGCCAGGAAUGCAGCACCUGUGGCUAAGUUGGGGUCUCACAGUUUCAGGUAUCUUGUUAUAACUGCAUAAACAGACCAGGACAAGGCCACUGAAUCAACAGGCAGAAAAAGGAGCUACUCUACUGGCUGGAGUGAUUGAUCCUGAACACCAAGGGGUGAUUGGAUUGCAGCUAUAUAAUGGGAGCAAGAGAGACUAUUUCUGGAGCCAAGGAGAUUCUGACUUGGUUUCCAGAGCGUUUUGGCCUGAGCACCACAAGCUUUCAAGAAUUUCAGUCGAGAAAUGCUAUCCCCAGAUUGCUCAGCUACGUGCAUCCUCCCCACGGCUGUGAAGUUUGGCAUGGAAUGGCGGAGCAUCUCUUCCGAGGUUUAUUUGCCAUCUGCAUCUCAUGAAAUCAGGAUCCUGGUAACCCCCUGGCCAGGAAAUGCUGCCUGCCUGGCUCAGCUCACCACUGAGAGCUUCACAGGAGGAGCUUGUCUGCGAGGGCAUGUAGCCAGGGAGCAUGACUGUCUUGUGGAUUGCUGGACUCUGGUGCCUGGCAUGGGGUAAGCUUUGAGGCUGGUUCACCUUCCUGUCCUGGCAUUGAGGCUCAACUCUCCAGUCUGCAAAAUGGCAUGACAGUGGCGGACUUCCUGACUUGAAGAUUUGUGGAGAGGACCACAUGACACACCACAUGGGAACUGCCCUGGGCAGUAGUUGAUACUUAGGAGCACCAGGCCUGGGAGAGGAGCUGGGGACAUUGGCUCUGUGGGAAAAAGCAGAUGUCCUACAUCAUCAGCCCUCCCAUGACUGCUCCACUUGUCUUGUGUCCCCCAGCAAGUAACUGGGGAAGAGCCACAGAGGAGAGGCAGCUGAAAGUGAGUGACAAGGGCAGAGACUGGUGUCUUGGCCCCACCCUGAGUGAACUGAGGCACCCCAGAGAGGAGCAUGCAGCUCACUCCAGUUCCCUGGACUUGGUGGAACAGAUCCUUGGGGCCCUUCCUGACCAUCUACUGGAGGCGCUGAGUCACUCUCACAGUCUCUGGGCAGAAGUCCCAGGUGAGCUCACUGGCCCCCAGUGAUGAAGAACUGAUCAGAGUCCAGAAGAUGUUUGCAUUCUCUUUGUUUCCCCUGAGUAUCCUGGGAAGAUGUGGAUUAAGCUGAAUUAAGAGACAGAUGUCUCAGAAGAACUGUGAGGAUGAAUCUGGAGCCCCAACCUCUCCUAGACUCCUGGAGGAGGAUGACCCAGGGUCCCAGUCCUCCCAACAGCAGGCCACCAGUUCAAGGCACAAGAAGCCCUUAAGCUCCCUCCACCUUUCACAUAGGGCCCAGGUGGCCUUGGAGUACCUGCCUUUCUUCUGCACCUAUGGGUACCUCCUGGCAGAGGAGGGGUUGGACCUGCAGCCUGAGACACCGCUCCAGGAGGACUCAGAACUGCUCAGUGGGUUCUUCCCUUACUACCGCUCUGAGGAGGAGAGUUUGCCCAGCAUGGCCCUUCCUGGCUGGUCACACAGGGGCUCCCAAGAUGCGCCCACUGAGAGGGAGGCACAGGCUGGCUGCUUCUGCAGGACAACAGUCAGGGACGAAUGCUCUGUGAGUUGAGGAGGCCAUAGAGGGUGGGGGGAGCAGCACUGGGCCCCCACAUCCUUCAAACCUGGGGCCCAGACUCUAACAGGCCCAUGGACAGGCCCCUCUCAGGGCUGCUGGGGUUCUUGGAGCAAGGUGUCACUGGUUGAGAGUACAGAGACUGCAGAAAGACUGUCCUGUUCAAGCCCAGCUUGACCACCUGCUAGGAGAGCGACCUUAUAAGAGAGUGGUUUCCUUAUAAAAGACAGAACAACUGGCCAGGCAUGGUGGCUCACGCCUGUAAUCCCAGCAAUUUGGGAGGCCGAGGCGGGUAGAUUACGAGGUCAGGAGAUCGAGACCAUCCUGGCUAACGCAGUGAAACCCUGUCUCUACUA